UCGCGGCCCGACCGCUUUCUCACCCCCGCAGGCACGCUCUCGACAACUUUGCCAGAUCGCUCCCUACCCGGCUGCUACAGCGGGAUAAAAGGAUGGAAGAAAUAAUCGCAUCACCCUUUGCUAACAGCAAGAACACUUACCAGUUUCUCCUGCAACACCCAAAAUCAUGUGGAUAGCAAGAUUAUCCCAGCAGGGAUGGAUAACUGUGUAAAUUAUAGGUGUUGCUGCUGCUGGGGAGAGACAAGGGAGGAAGGAAGGGCACAGUGUUUCCUUGUUAUAUAACCUGGUUGCCCAGAGAAGCUGUGGCUGCCCCAUCCCUGGAAGUGUCCAAGGCCAGGCUGGACGGGGCUUGGAGCAACCUGGGCUAAUUGAAGGUGUCCCUGCCCAUGGCAGGGGGUGCAAUGAGAUGAGCUUUAAGGUCCCCUCCCACCCAAACCAUUCCAUGAU